UCCUACGGGAGGCAGCAGUGGGGAAUUUUGGACAAUGGGCGCAAGCCUGAUCCAGCCAUGCCGCGUGCGGGAAGAAGGCCUUCGGGUUGUAAACCGCUUUCGUCAGGGAAGAAAUAGCUUGGGUUAAUACCCCGAGUAAUGACGUACCUAAAGAAUAAGGCCCCCAGAUU
rnacentral:rRNA from 1 species